UACGAAGGGGGCUAGCGUUGCUCGGAAUUACUGGGCGUAAAGGGCGCGUAGGCGGCUUUGCAAGUCGAGUGUGAAAUCCCAGGCUUCAACCUGGGAACUCGCGAUUCGAGACUGCAUAGCUAGAGUAUGGGAGAGGGAAGUGGAAUUUCAGGUGUAGCGGUGAAAUGCGUAGAUAUCUGAAGGAACAUCAGUGGCGAAAGCGACUUCCUGGACCAAUACUGACGCUCAUGUGCGAAAGCGUGGGGAGCAAACAGG
rnacentral:rRNA from 1 species